CUCGUAUUCUCCCGAAAAUACUUGUCAUCAAAAUGGAUAAAAGGCAUGUAUUAGACGUAUUUUAAUUCUAGAUACAUCUUUUUUUAUUCAUUUUGAUGACAAGUAUUUUCGGAUGAAGGAAAUACUAG
rnacentral:pre_miRNA from 1 species